AACGAACGCUGGCGGCAUGCCUAACACAUGCAAGUCGAACGAACCCUUCGGGGUUAGUGGCGCACGGGUGCGUAACGCGUGGUAAUCUGCCCUUUGCUUCGGAAUAACUCAGGGAAACUUGUGCUAAUACCGGAUGAUGUCUUCGGACCAAAGAUUUAUCGGCAAGGGAUGAGCCCGCGUAGGAUUAGGUAGUUGGUUGGGUAAAGGCCUACCAAGCCGACGAUCCUUAGCUGGUCUGAGAGGAUGAUCAGCCACACUGGGAAUGAGACACGGCCCAGACUACGACGGGAGGCGGCAGUGGGGAAUAUUGGAAAAGGGGCGCAAGCAUGAUCCAGCAAUGACGGGUGAGAGAUGAAGGCCAUCGGGUAGUAAAGCUCUUUUACAAGGGAUGAUAAUGACAGUAACUGGAGAAUAAGCUCCGGCUAACUACGUG
rnacentral:rRNA from 1 species